UGAGUAUAAUUUAAAGUAGGGCCUGCCCACUGAAAAUUUGAAGGGCCGCAGUAUUUUGACUGUGCAAAGGUAGCAUAAUCAUUAGUUUUUUAAUUGAAAGCUUGUAUGAAUGGUUUGAUGAAAAAAUAACUUUCUUUAUUUAAUUUUUUAAAAAUUUUAUUUUUAAGUUAAAAAGCUUAAAUAAUUUUAAAAGACGAGAAGACCCUAUAGAGUUUUAUUAUUUAAAUUUUUUAAAUUUUUAGAAUUUAAUUAUUUUAAUAUUUUAAAUAAUUUGAUUGGGGUGAUUAAAAAAUUAAAUAAACUUUUUUUAUAUUAUAACAUAGAUUAAUGAAUAUUGAUCCA
rnacentral:rRNA from 1 species